AACGAACGCUGGCGGCAUGCCUAACACAUGCAAGUCGAACGAGACCUUCGUGCCUAGUGGCGCACGUGUGCGUAACGCGUGGGAACCUGCCCUUAGGUUCGGAAUAACUCCCCGAAAGGGGUGCUAAUACCGCAUAAUGUCUUCGGACCAAGGAUUUAUCGCCUUUGGAUGGGCCCGCGUUGGAUUAGCUAGUUGGUAGGGUAAAAGCCUACCAAGGCGACGAUCCAUAGCUGGUCUGAGAGGAUGAUCAGCCACACUGGGACUGAGACACGGCCCAGACUCCUACGGGAGGCAGCAGUGGGGAAUAUUGGACAAUGGGCGAAAGCCUGAUCCAGCAAUGCCGCGUGAGUGAUGAAGGCCUUAGGGUUGUAAAGCUCUUUUACCCGGGAUGAUAAUGACAGUACCGGGAGAAUAAGCUCCGGCUAACUCCGUG
rnacentral:rRNA from 1 species